rnacentral:rRNA from 1 species
GAUGAACGCUGGCGGCGUGCUUAACACAUGCAAGUCGAACGGAAAGGCCCAAGCUUGCUUGGGUACUCGAGUGGCGAACGGGUGAGUAACACGUGGGUGAUCUGCCCUGCACUUCGGGAUAAGCCUGGGAAACUGGGUCUAAUACCGGAUAGGACCACUUCUUGGAUGUUGUGGUGGAAAGUUUUUUCGGUGUGGGAUGAGCUCGCGGCCUAUCAGCUUGUUGGUGGGGUAAUGGCCUACCAAGGCGUCGACGGGUAGCCGGCCUGAGAGGGUGUACGGCCACAUUGGGACUGAGAUACGGGCCAGACUCCUACGGGAGGCAGCAGUGGGGAAUAUUGCACAAUGGGCGCAAGCCUGAUGCAGCGACGCCGCGUGGGGGAUGACGGCCUUCGGGUUGGAAACUCCUUUCGCUAGGGACGAAGCGUUUUGUGACGGUACCUGGAGAAGAAGCACCGGCUAACUACGUG